rnacentral:rRNA from 1 species
GAUCAUGGCUCAGGAUGAACGCUAGCGACAGGCUUAACACAUGCAAGUCGAGGGGCAGCGAGGGCGUAGCAAUACGCCUGUCGGCGACCGGCGCACUGGUGAGUAACACGUAUGCGACCUGCCCCCUACAGGGGUAUAACCCGUAGAAAUGCGGACUAAUCCCCCAUAGUCCUGGGUGCUGCAUGGCAUUCAGGGGAAAGGCCAGCCGGUAGGGGAUGGGCAUGCGGCGCAUUAGCUAGUUGGCGGGGCAACGGCCCACCAAGGCGACGAUGCGUAGGGGUUCUGAGAGGAAGGUCCCCCACACUGGUACUGAGACACGGACCAGACUCCUACGGGAGGCAGCAGUGAGGAAUAUUGGUCAAUGGGCGCAGGCCUGAACCAGCCAAGUCGCGUGAGGGAUGACGGUCCUACGGAUUGUAAACCUCUUUUGUCGGGGAGUAACGUGCGGGACGGGUCCCGUAUUGAGAGUACCCGAAGAAAAAGCAUCGGCUAACUCCGUG